ensembl:miRNA aca-mir-5420 aca-mir-5420
UACUGCUCAAACAGUAGCACUCUCCUCUUAUGGCAUUUUGGGAAAGUGCUACAUUGUUUGGGUACUU